AACGAACGCUGGCGGCGUGCCUAACACAUGCAAGUCGUGCGAGAAAGUUCCUUCGGGAGCGAGUAAAGCGGCGCACGGGUGAGUAACACGUAGGUAACCUGCCCCCCAGUCUGGAACAACUAGAGGAAACUCUAGCUAAUGCCGGAUGAGACCACGAUCCCUUCGGGGGUUGCGGCCAAAGAUGGCCUCUACUUGUAAGCUAUCGCUGAGGGAUGGGCCUGCGGGCCAUUAGCUUGUUGGUGAGGUAACGGCUCACCAAGGCUGUGAUGGCUAGCUGGUCUGAGAGGAUGACCAGCCACACUGGGACUGAGACACGG
rnacentral:rRNA from 1 species